AAAACAUCGCCUCCUGCAACACAACCAAGUAUAGGAGGUCCAGCCUGCCCAGUGACUACAAGUUCAACGGCCGCGGUAUUUUGACCGUGCAAAGGUAGCGCAAUCACUUGUCUUUUAAAUAGAGACCUGUAUGAAUGGCUAAACGAGGGCUUAACUGUCUCCCAUUUCCAGUCAGUGAAAUUGAUCUGCCCGUGCAGAAGCGGGCAUAAUAAUACAAGACGAGAAGACCCUUUGGAGCUUAAGGUACAAAAUUCAACCAUGUUAAGCAACUCAUCAAAAAGUGUAAACUUUGUGGAACAUGAAAUUUUACCUUCGGUUGGGGCGACCACGGAGAAAAAACAAGCCUCCAAGUGGAUAGGGAUAAUACUCCUAAAACCAAGAGAAACACCUCUAAGCCACAGAAUAUCUGACCAAAUAUGAUCCAGCCAUAAGGCCGAUCAACGAACCAAGUUACCCUAGGGAUAACAGCGCAAUCCUCUCCCAGAGUCCAUAUCGACGAGGGGGUUUACGACCUCGAUGUUGGAUCAGGACAUCCUAAUGGUGCAGCCGCUAUUAAGGGUUCGUUUGUUCAACGAUUAAAGUCCUACGUGA
rnacentral:rRNA from 1 species